rnacentral:rRNA from 1 species
UACAGAGGUCCCGAGCGUUGUCCGGAUUUAUUGGGCGUAAAGCGAGCGCAGGUGGUUUAUUAAGUCUGGUGUAAAAGGCAGUGGCUCAACCAUUGUAUGCAUUGGAAACUGGUAGACUUGAGUGCAGGAGAGGAGAGUGGAAUUCCAUGUGUAGCGGUGAAAUGCGUAGAUAUAUGGAGGAACACCGGUGGCGAAAGCGGCUCUCUGGCCUGUAACUGACACUGAGGCUCGAAAGCGUGGGGAGCAAACAGG